rnacentral:lncRNA from 1 species
UUGAAAGUCCAGUCCAGUACAGACAUACCCAGUCCAGCCUGGAUAAGAAGCAUUUAUCCAGGCAGAAACUGAAGUCCAAGAGCUUUUUUUUUUUCUUUUUAGAGUUGGUCUUCCUUUUUUGAGCUUUGUAAAAUGCAGUUCUGCCUAAAAAAAGUUCACUUUCUUAUCAUUUAUUCUGGCCAGAACUACCAGUUUUGUAUUGUGAAAAAUUGUGAAGUCCUUACCAGUCUGAGGCAAGAAAAGAACUUACUUGGGAGAUAUUCCUCACCCAAAUUCACAAUCGCUUGUUUAGAAAUCAGUAACUUAGGGCUCAAGUUAUCUAUUUUCAAGAGGUCUGCUAGGAUUUUCAUUGCUAGCAGUGACACGCUCACACACAAAAGAAAGUUGACUCGUUGACCAGUCAAUGAUUUUCGAGAUAAUGGGGAACUUUACCCUACCAUCACAAGAACAAAUAUAAAACGGGUGAACACCUACACAAGUUGUUUUGACCUCCAAACAUGGGAAAAUUUCUCAAGCCUGCAAGUACGCAUAUAACAUCUCAAGAAUGGAAUGAUAAACAGAAUCUACAAAAAAUAAAAUAAAAUACUACAUGUAAAACAAAAACAAAAAAGGUAAUGAAACUGACCACAAUAACUUACAGCAACAUUUAGUAAUCCAAUUAAUGGAUACAAAGAAAACAUUGACUUGAUUUUCUUUCUCUUCUGAGCUUCAGUAUUAUUAAACUGCAGCAUCCUAUCAAGUACCUACAAGAAUCAGAAGAUAUUUUCUGAAACCCCAUAUGUUUAGAAUAAAUAAAGAGAAAAGAACAUCAACAAAAUUGUUAAAACAUUAGUCAAAUUGUUGAGAAUAUAAAAUCCCACAUCGACUAUUC